GUUAAAUGUUUGGGUGAUCUACAAAUUAUUCAUGUCACUUAUUCAUUUAACAUGAUUUUGACAAUUGUGUGUGUGUGUGUGUGUGUGCAAGCAUAUGUGUGUGUGUGAGUGUGUGUGUGUGUGUGUGUGUGUGUGUGUGUGUGUGUGUGUGUGUGUGUGUGUGUGUGUGUGUGCAAGCCUAUAGGUGUGUGUGUGCAAGCAUAUGGGUGUGUGUGAGUGUGUGUGCGUGAGCGAGAGAGAGAGAGUGUGUGUGUGUGUGUGUGUGUGUGUGUAUGUGUGUGUGUGAGAGUGUGUGUAAAGUUUGCCAUUGAAACUGAUAUUGCCAUUUUCAGGUGAAGAGGUGUGUGAAGAUGAGGGUGAGUGUGAGGAAGAUGAGGAAGAUGAGUGUGCAGGGGGGCUUCCGUCCCGCAGAGAGAGUGUGACGUACUCAGUGGUGCAUUUAAAGAGGAAACCCACUGAGAAUCUGAACAAAGCUGUAGCAUCUACAGAUCCUCUGACUGUAAGUUUAUCUCCAGUGUUUAUCCAUAUCUGUAGAUGGUCUAAGGGGAAGCUGCUCACUUAUCUAACUGCUGGUGUUUUAUCUGCUUUUGUUUAGGCUGUAGGUGACACUGAUGAUGAAUAUCAAACAGUCAUAUACGCCGGAUUGAAAAUGAAUCAAUGAACAAUCAAUCAAUAAUAUUAAAGGGGGACUCAUCUGCUCUAUUGUGGACAGUUUGUCACAUAAGUGCCAGGGGUUUCACAACCUCAUAGUUUUACAUGUCAGACAUCCUCAGGAGUAUGGUUAGUUUGGCUAUAGGUUAUACAUAGUAAACAAUAAUUUGCACUUUUUUUUAAACUGUUUAUGCUGUUUAUACUGGCCUUUUUUAAUGGACUCCAUAUAAAUGUGACGUGAAAUUAUGCUAAUCUUGGUUGGUUGAGAAAAUAACUGCAAUGAGAGGCGGAUAGAGGAAAUUAUUAUUUUUUAGUAAUUUAGGUGGCUUCAAAAAGAACUAGUCAGUUUGACCUGUAAAUUCAACACAUUGUUUAACCCUACACACAACAACCUACUGCCUGAACAUACCGACAAUUCCGAUGCAACCUUCAUAGUAUGAAGUUCAUAGCCAUGUUUCAAAAACGUAACUGAAUCUAACCGCAUACGUAUAACAACGGGGAGCCUUCUUCCGGUAACUUACUGAGGUAGGCUACUCGCCAUUUGUGAAAAAAUAUGGGGGGGUUGAAACGUUUUUAUUCAUGAAAAGAAAUCACAAACAACAGAAGGCAUGUAGAGUAGACUAUAAAGCUAGUCGGCUGUUGCAGCGUCUUGAGACAAUUUAAUUGUUUUGGCGCUAUAUACAUUGAAUGUAAUUUUGUGUUUAUGUGUUUACUACGAGAUGGUAUUCUGCAUUAGAGUUGGUUGAACUUAAUCUUUUUUAGUUUGUGUAUUUUUGUGUUGUUAUAUGUUGUCCCUCGUGGCCCCAAAUGUCGUUGUAUGAAAAGUUAUACACUGACAAUAAAUGCUUUCCAUUGUAACUGACUGAUCA
rnacentral:lncRNA from 1 species